CCUACGGGAGGCAGCAGUGAGGAAUAUUGGUCAAUGGGCUUACGCCUGAACCAGCCAAGUCGCGUGAGGGAAGACUGCCCUAUGGGUUGUAAACCUCUUUUGUCAGGGAGCAACGCCGGCUACGUGUAGCCGGACUGAGAGUACCUGAAGAAAAAGCAUCGGCUAACUCCGUGCCAGCAGCCGCGGUAAUACGGAGGAUGCGAGCGUUAUCCGGAUUUAUUGGGUUUAAAGGGUGCGUAGGCGGAAUGCCAAGUCAGCGGUAAAAUCGCGGGGCUCAACCUCGCGCCGCCGUUGAAACUGGCGGUCUUGAGUGGGCGAGAAGUAUGCGGAAUGCGUGGUGUAGCGGUGAAAUGCAUAGAUAUCACGCAGAACUCCGAUUGCGAAGGCAGCAUACCGGCGCCCAACUGACGCUGAGGCACGAAAGCGUGGGUAUCGAACAGGAUUAGAUACCCCAGUAGUC
rnacentral:rRNA from 1 species